GCAAGUCGAACGAAGGCUUCGGCCUUAGUGGCGCACGGGUGCGUAACGCGUGGGAAUCUGCCCUUGGGUUCGGAAUAACAGCGAGAAAUUGCGGCUAAUACCGGAUGAUGUCGUAAGACCAAAGAUUUAUCGCCCAAGGAUGAGCCCGCGUUGGAUUAGCUAGUUGGUGGGGUAAAGGCCCACCAAGGCGACGAUCCAUAGCUGGUCUGAGAGGAUGAUCAGCCACACUGGGACUGAGACACGGCCCAGACUCCUACGGGAGGCAGCAGUGGGGAAUAUUGGACAAUGGGCGAAAGCCUGAUCCAGCAAUGCCGCGUGAGUGAUGAAGGCCUUAGGGUUGUAAAGCUCUUUUACCCGGGAUGAUAAUGACCGUACCGGGAGAAUAAGCUCCGGCUAACUCCGUGCCAGCAGCCGCGGUAAUACGGAGGGAGCUAGCGUUGUUCGGAAUUACUGGGCGUAAAGCGCACGUAGGCGGCUUUGUAAGUCAGAGGUGAAAGCCUGGAGCUCAACUCCAGAACUGCCUUUGAGACUGCAUCGCUUGAAUCCGGGAGAGGUGAGUGGAAUUCCGAGUGUAGAGGUGAAAUUCGUAGAUAUUCGGAAGAACACCAGUGGCGAAGGCGGCUCACUGGACCGGUAUUGACGCUGAAGUGCGAAAGCGUGGGGAGCAAACAGGAUUAGAUACC
rnacentral:rRNA from 1 species